AAAAAGAAGCCCAAAUAGUCCUGAAGAGAUGACCCAAGGACCUUUCUAGCGACUGCCGCUCUGAGGCUGAGGUGGGGUGACACCGCCGAGGACCGUUGCAUUUACGAGAUGUUUUAUCUUUAUGACAAAGGAGCAAAUAGGGCCGUAGAUGUGAUAAGAAGAGAGGCGCCAUCUGGAAAGCUUUCGUUCUGUCAGUUGGCUGGCCGAGUUGCUGAAGCGGCAGAACCCACUAGCCUCUGAGGACAUAGGCGCACCUCUGGGCAUGGCAGGGCCAGACGCCCCACCAUCGCCUCCUGGUCUCGCAAGCUGCAGAUGAGGCCUCCCGGGACAGCAGUGACCUUUCGGCACAGCGGACAGGGGAUGGACCAGGUGUCUUCCUGCACAUAUAGCAGAAGCUUCAGGCAUACGGCACAGAAGGUGUGCUGACAGCUAAGCA
rnacentral:lncRNA from 1 species